CCCUUAGAUGUUCUGGGCCGCACGCGCGCUACACUGAUGCAUUCAACGAGUUUCUUCCUGGUCCGAGAGGAAUGGGUAACCUUUUGAAAGUGCAUCGUGAUAGGGAUAGACUAUUGCAAUUAUUGGUCUUCAACGAGGAAUUCCUAGUAGACGUAGUUCAUCAGACUGCAUCGAUUACGUCCCUGCCCUUUGUACACACCGCCCGUCGCUCCUACCGAUUGAAUGCUCAGGUGAGCCAUUCGGACUUUCAUCAUGCUGGUUUCCAGUUUUGAUGAAGGAGAGUCUUGCGAACCUUAUCAUUUAGAGGAAGGAGAAGUCGUAACA
rnacentral:rRNA from 1 species